rnacentral:rRNA from 1 species
GAUGAACGCUGGCGGCGUGCCUAAUACAUGCAAGUCGAGCGAACGGACGAGAAGCUUGCUUCUCUGAUGUUAGCGGCGGACGGGUGAGUAACAAGUGGAUAACCUACCUAUAAGACUGGGAUAACUUCGGGAAACCGUAGCUAAUACCGGAUAAUAUUUUGAACCGCAUGGUUCAAAAGUGAAAGACGGUCUUGCUGUCACUUAUAGAUGGAUCCGCGCUGCAUUAGCUAGUUGGUAAGGUAACGGCUUACCAAGGCAACGAUGGAUAGCCGACCUGAGAGGGUGAUCGCCCACACUGGAACUGAGACACGGUCCAGACUCCUACGGGAGGCAGCAGUAGGGAACCUUCCGCAAUGGGCGAAAGCCUGACGGAGCAACGGCGCGUGAGUGAUGAAGGUCUUCGGAUCGUAAAACUCUGUUAUUAGGGAAGAACAUAUGUGUAAGUAACUGUGCACAACUUGACGGUACCUAAUCAGAAAGCCACGGCUAACUACGUG